rnacentral:rRNA from 1 species
UUAAGCGACUAAGCGUACACGGUGGAUGCCCUGGCAGUCAGAGGCGAUGAAGGACGUGCUAAUCUGCGAAAAGCGUCGGUAAGGUGAUAUGAACCGUUAUAACCGGCGAUGUCCGAAUGGGGAAACCCAGUGCAAUUCGUUGCACUAUCGUUAACUGAAUACAUAGGUUAACGAGGCGAACCGGGGGAACUGAAACAUCUAAGUACCCCGAGGAAAAGAAAUCAACCGAGAUUCCCCCAGUAGCGGCGAGCGAACGGGGAGCAGCCCAGAGUCUGAAUCAGCUUGUGUGUUAGUGGAACGGUCUGGAAAGUCCGACGGUACAGGGUGAUAGUCCCGUACACCAAAAUGCACAGGNUGUGAACUCGAAGAGUAGGGCGGGACACGUGGUAUCCUGUCUGAAUAUGGGGGGACCAUCCUCCAAGGCUAAAUACUCCUGACUGACCGAUAGUGAACCAGUACCGUGAGGGAAAGGCGAAAAGAACCCCGGCGAGGGGAGUGAAAAAGAACCUGAAACCGUGUACGUACAAGCAGUGGGAGCACCUUCGGGUGUGACUGCGUACCUUUUGUAUAAUGGGUCAGCGACUUAUAUUCUGUAGCAAGGUUAACCGUAUAGGGGAGCCGCAGGGAAACCGAGUCUUAACUGGGCGUUAAGUUGCAGGGUAUAGACCCGAAACCCGGUGAUCUAGCCAUGGGCAGGUUGAAGGUUGGGUAACACUAACUGGAGGACCGAACCGACUAAUGUUGAAAAAUUAGCGGAUGACUUGUGGCUGGGGGUGAAAGGCCAAUCAAACCGGGAGAUAGCUGGUUCUCCCCGAAAGCUAUUUAGGUAGCGCCUCGUGAACUCAUCUUCGGGGGUAGAGCACUGUUUCGGCUAGGGGGUCAUCCCGACUUACCAACCCGAUGCAAACUACGAAUACCGAAGAAUGUUAUCACGGGAGACACACGGCGGGUGCUAACGUCCGUCGUGAAGAGGGAAACAACCCAGACCGCCAGCUAAGGUCCCAAAGUCAUGGUUAAGUGGGAAACGAUGUGGGAAGGCACAGACAGCCAGGAUGUUGGCUUAGAAGCAGCCAUCAUUUAAAGAAAGCGUAAUAGCUCACUGGUCGAGUCGGCCUGCGCGGAAGAUGUAACGGGGCUAAACCAUGCACCGAAGCUGCGGCAGCGACACUAUGUGUUGUUGGGUAGGGGAGCGUUCUGUAAGCCUGCGAAGGUGUGCUGUGAGGCAUGCUGGAGGUAUCAGAAGUGCGAAUGCUGACAUAAGUAACGAUAAAGCGGGUGAAAAGCCCGCUCGCCGGAAGACCAAGGGUUCCUGUCCAACGUUAAUCGGGGCAGGGUGAGUCGACCCCUAAGGCGAGGCCGAAAGGCGUAGUCGAUGGGAAACAGGUUAAUAUUCCUGUACUUGGUGUUACUGCGAAGGGGGGACGGAGAAGGCUAUGUUAGCCGGGCGACGGUUGUCCCGGUUUAAGCAUGUAGGCUGAUUGUCCAGGCAAAUCCGGAUAAUCAAGGCUGAGGUGUGAUGACGAGGCACUACGGUGCUGAAGUAACAAAUGCCCUGCUUCCAGGAAAAGCCUCUAAGCAUCAGGUAACAUUAAAUCGUACCCCAAACCGACACAGGUGGUCAGGUAGAGAAUACCAAGGCGCUUGAGAGAACUCGGGUGAAGGAACUAGGCAAAAUGGUGCCGUAACUUCGGGAGAAGGCACGCUGGUGUGUAGGUGAAGUCCCUGCGGAUGGAGCUGAGACCAGUCGAAGAUACCAGCUGGCUGCAACUGUUUAUUAAAAACACAGCACUGUGCAAACACGAAAGUGGACGUAUACGGUGUGACGCCUGCCCGGUGCCGGAAGGUUAAUUGAUGGGGUUAUCCGUAAGGAGAAGCUCUUGAUCGAAGCCCCGGUAAACGGCGGCCGUAACUAUAACGGUCCUAAGGUAGCGAAAUUCCUUGUCGGGUAAGUUCCGACCUGCACGAAUGGCGUAAUGAUGGCCAGGCUGUCUCCACCCGAGACUCAGUGAAAUUGAACUCGCUGUGAAGAUGCAGUGUACCCGCGGCAAGACGGAAAGACCCCGUGAACCUUUACUAUAGCUUGACACUGAACAUUGAGCCUUGAUGUGUAGGAUAGGUGGGAGGCUUUGAAGCGUGGACGCCAGUCUGCGUGGAGCCAACCUUGAAAUACCACCCUUUAAUGUUUGAUGUUCUAACGUUGGCCCCUGACCGGGGUUGCGGACAGUGUCUGGUGGGUAGUUUGACUGGGGCGGUCUCCUCCCAAAGCGUAACGGAGGAGCACGAAGGUUAGCUAAUCCUGGUCGGACAUCAGGAGGUUAGUGCAAUGGCAUAAGCUAGCUUGACUGCGAGCGUGACGGCGCGAGCAGGUGCGAAAGCAGGUCAUAGUGAUCCGGUGGUUCUGAAUGGAAGGGCCAUCGCUCAACGGAUAAAAGGUACUCCGGGGAUAACAGGCUGAUACCGCCCAAGAGUUCAUAUCGACGGCGGUGUUUGGCACCUCGAUGUCGGCUCAUCACAUCCUGGGGCUGAAGUAGGUCCCAAGGGUAUGGCUGUUCGCCAUUUAAAGUGGUACGCGAGCUGGGUUUAGAACGUCGUGAGACAGUUCGGUCCCUAUCUGCCGUGGGCGCUGGAGAAUUGAGGGGGGCUGCUCCUAGUACGAGAGGACCGGAGUGGACGCAUCACUGGUGUUCGGGUUGUCAUGCCAAUGGCACUGCCCGGUAGCUAAAUGCGGAAGAGAUAAGUGCUGAAAGCAUCUAAGCACGAAACUUGCCCCGAGAUGAGUUCUCCCUGAGACU